GGAAACCGGAGCUAAUACCGGAUAAUAUUUUGAACCGCAUGGUUCAAAAGUAAAAGAACGGUCUUGCUGUCACUUAUAGAUGGAUCCGCGCUGCAUUAGCUAGUUGGUAAGGUAACGGCUUACCAAGGCAACGAUGCAUAGCCGACCUGAGAGGGUGAUCGGCCACACUGGAACUGAGACACGGUCCAG
rnacentral:rRNA from 1 species